rnacentral:rRNA from 2 species
GGGUUGUGAGGUUAAGCGACUAAGCGUACACGGUGGAUGCCCUGGCAGUCAGAGGCGAUGAAGGGCGUGCUAAUCUGCGAUAAGCGCCGGUAAGGUGAUAUGAACCGUUAUAACCGGCGAUACCCGAAUGGGGAAACCCAGUGUGAUUCGUCACACUAUCAUUAACUGAAUCCAUAGGUUAAUGAGGCGAACCGGGGGAACUGAAACAUCUAAGUACCCCGAGGAAAA